GCAAAAGAAUAUGAGUGGUGAACGCCAUUAACGGAAUGUACAUAUCAGGAGAAUUUAAGUCUUCCGCAGGAGGGCAAUAACCUUCAGCACUCCCGUUAAUUUCAGAGCGCCUUAACUUUCUAGCCCAUGACCUACGGCGCCAUGGAAAGAUGAUGAGCAAAAGCUUGGCCACAACGUAGGAAUUAGUGACUGUGAAAUAGUGGUGAAGUCUUGUGGUAGAAAGCCAUUUUCCAAAAUUUUGUUCAACAUAUUCUUGGCCUGCGUUGACUGCAUUUUUACCUAACUGAAAUCCCAUUUGAGCAGUGGCUGAAUUGGGUAAGUAUGCUGAUGGAUUAGCUGCUUGAACGGACGGUACGGAGGUUCCAGAAAACCCAGCGGUGGGUUCAUAACGUGUAUUUACGCGCAUAUUGGAAACAGGAAUGGCAUGUGUGGGUUGAGGAUGGUACAACUUGGGUGGCAUACUAACGUUGUUUUGACUGACAAGCGAAGUUGGUAGACGAUAAACUAAGUACCUGAGGGAUAUGAACCUUUGGGCUUAAAAGAAAGGGAAAUGAAAUCUAAAUUUU